rnacentral:rRNA from 1 species
GAUGAACGCUGGCGGCGUGCCUAAUACAUGCAAGUCGAGCGAACGGACGAGAAGCUUGCUUCUCUGAUGUUAGCGGCGGACGGGUGAGUAACACGUGGAUAACCUACCUAUAAGACUGGGAUAACUUCGGGAAACCGGAGCUAAUACCGGAUAAUAUUUUGAACCGCAUGGUUCAAAAGUGAAAGACGGUCUUGCUGUCACUUAUAGAUGGAUCCGCGCUGCAUUAGCUAGUUGGUAAGGUAACGGCUUACCAAGGCAACGAUGCAUAGCCGACCUGAGAGGGUGAUCGGCCACACUGGAACUGAGACACGGUCCAGACUCCUACGGGAGGCAGCAGUAGGGAAUCUUCCGCAAUGGGCGAAAGCCUGACGGAGCAACGCCGCGUGAGUGAUGAAGGUCUUCGGAUCGUAAAACUCUGUUAUUAGGGAAGAACAUAUGUGUAAGUAACUGUGCACAUCUUGACGGUACCUAAUCAGAAAGCCACGGCUAACUACGUGCCAGCAGCCGCGGUAAUACGUAGGUGGCAAGCGUUAUCCGGAAUUAUUGGGCGUAAAGCGCGCGUAGGCGGUUUUUUAAGUCUGAUGUGAAAGCCCACGGCUCAACCGUGGAGGGUCAUUGGGAACUGGAAAACUUGAGUGCAGAAGAGGAAAGUGGAAUUCCAUGUGUAGCGGUGAAAUGCGCAGAGAUACGGAGGAACACCAGUGGCGAAGGCGACUUUCUGGUCUGUAACUGACGCUGAUGUGCGAAAGCGUGGGGAUCAAACAGGAUUAGAUACCCUGGUAGUCCACGCCGUAAACGAUGAGUGCUAAGUGUUAGGGGGUUUCCGCCCCUUAGUGCUGCAGCUAACGCAUUAAGCACUCCGCCUGGGGAGUACGACCGCAAGGUUGAAACUCAAAGGAAUUGACGGGGACCCGCACAAGCGGUGGAGCAUGUGGUUUAAUUCGAAGCAACGCGAAGAACCUUACCAAAUCUUGACAUCCUUUGACAACUCUAGAGAUAGAGCCUUCCCCUUCGGGGGGGCAAAGUGACAGGUGGUGCAUGGUUGUCGUCAGCUCGUGUCGUGAGAUGUUGGGUUAAGUCCCGCAACGAGCGCAACCCUUAAGCUUAGUUGCCAUCAUUAAGUUGGGCACUCUAAGUUGACUGCCGGUGACAAACCGGAGGAAGGUGGGGAUGACGUCAAAUCAUCAUGCCCCUUAUGAUUUGGGCUACACACGUGCUACAAUGGACAAUACAAAGGGCAGCGAAACCGCGAGGUCAAGCAAAUCCCAUAAAGUUGUUCUCAGUUCGGAUUGUAGUCUGCAACUCGACUACAUGAAGCUGGAAUCGCUAGUAAUCGUAGAUCAGCAUGCUACGGUGAAUACGUUCCCGGGUCU